GGCUCUGUGGCGCAAUGGAUAGCGCAUUGGACUUCUAAUUCAAAGGUUGUGUGUUCGAGUCCCACCAGAGUCG